UUUUGGACAAUGGGCGAAAGCCUGAUCCAGCAAUGCCGCGUGUGGGAAGAAGGCCUUCGGGUUGUAAACCACUUUUGUCCGGAACGAAAAGGUCUGCCCUAAUACGGUGGGCCCAUGACGGUACCGUAAGAAUAAGCACCGGCUAACUACGUGCCAGCAGCCGCGGUAAUACGUAGGGUGCGAGCGUUAAUCGGAAUUACUGGGCGUAAAGCGUGCGCAGGCGGUUAUAUAAGACAGUUGUGAAAUCCCCGGGCUCAACCUGGGAAUUGCAUCUGUGACUGUAUAGCUAGAGUACGGUAGAGGGGGAUGGAAUUCCGCGUGUAGCAGUGAAAUGCGUAGAUAUGCGGAGGAACACCGAUGGCGAAGGCAAUCCCCUGGACCUGUACUGACGCUCAUGCACGAAA
rnacentral:rRNA from 1 species